CCACCACCACCACAACCACCACAAUUCAAGGGCCCUUGGCAGCCAAACGUCAUUGUGACUGCCCCCCCAGCCCCCUUGUGAAUGUGCAGUCACACGUCAUUGUGACUGCUCCCCCUUCCCCCGCCAGGGCGCAUUAUAAUAUAGGCUACAGCUUUUGAUAAGAUCUGUGUUUUAGCUGAUAAUUACAUCUAAUCUUAAAUAACUUUUUUUUUUGAUAAACAUCAUAAUAAAAUAGGAGUGAAUACAUUUUAAAAAUAACAUACUUGAAGACCACAUACAUACAGAUUCAUCAAACAAGUCAUCAAACAAUCAGUCAGAAAACAGGCACCUUUUGAAAAGGCCUGGCGGGCUAGAGCUGUACUGCGCAUGCGCGAUACAUUCCAACGGCUAUUUCACCGGAAGUCCACCCGAAAAACUCCGCAGAAUUUGAAAACUUUCCCGGUGCGUUUUAGGUUCUGUGCGGCAAAAUUCAAAAACGAAAGAGGCUACAAAAGAUGAGGUGAAAGGAAGCAUUACCUCAUUCCUCUACAAUGCACGUGAUUUAAAAGGUGGAAGAAGAGACGCAGAAAAGAGGAAGAGCAGGAGAGUGGCCCUUCCAAACAGAGGAGAGUGGAAUUGGUGGACUAAGAGGAUUUUUUAAUUUGUAAAAUAAAUGUAAACUGAUGUUUUAUUUAAUUGUGAUUUCAGUGUGUGAUUUUCCUUAAAUAAAUAUUGCAUAAAACUGA